GUUCCAGUCCAAAAAUUCCAUAUCCAUAUUGAUUAUCAUUGAAGUACAAUCUGAAAUAUUAACAAUAUUGGAAAAUGACACAGUCAAGCAGCAGUGAAAAGAGGUGACAAUGAGGCCCUGGCUGGUCUGAACAUUGCCUGACACUCGGGUCCCACUGUCUUAACAAGGCCAGCUAGGAAACAGUGACUGCAGACUCCCUAGGGCUCUACCACAGAAGGAAGACAAUGUGAAGAGAUAAAUGGAGGAUGGCCAUCUAAAAGCCAAAGAUAGAGGCCUGACCUAGAGCCUUCCCUCAUAGUCCUUAUAAGGAACCAACCCUGCAGACACCUUGAUUUUGGACUUUUGGCCUCCUGAACCAUGAGACAAUAAAUUCCUAUUGUUUAUGC